AUUGAACGCUGGCGGCAGGCCUAACACAUGCAAGUCGAACGAGUGGCGGACGGGUGAGGAAUGUCUGGGACACUGCCUGAUGGAGGGGGAUAAAUACUGGAAACGGUAGCUAAUACCGCAUACCAUCGGAUGUGCCCAGAUGGGUUUAGCUUGGUGGUGGGGUCAGGGCUCACCAAGGAGACGAUCCCUAGCUGGUCUGAGAGGAUGACCAGCCAGACUGGAACUGAGACACGGUCCAGAGUCACACGGGAGCCAGCAGUGGUGAAUAUUGAACAAUGGGCGCAAGCCUGAGGCAGCCAUGCCGAGUGUAUGAAGAAGGCCUGCGGGUUGUAAAGUACUUUCAGCGGGGAGGCGUUACCAGCAGAAGAAGCGCCGGCUAACUCCGUGCCAGCAGCCGCGGUAAUUC
rnacentral:rRNA from 1 species